rnacentral:rRNA from 1 species
UACGUAGGGUGCGGAGCGUUGCCCGGAUUUAUUGGGCGUAAAGGGCGCGUAGGCGGCCACGCACGUCCGUUGUGAAAUCGCCCGGCUCAACUGGGCGGGGUCGGCGGAUACGGCGUGGCUAGAGCAAGCUAGGGGGCAAUGGAAUUCCCGGUGUAGUGGUGGAAUGCGUAGAUAUCGGGAGGAACACCAGUGGCGAAGGGCGGUUGCCUGGG